GUCGCGUGUGUGAAGAAGGCCUUAGGGUUGUAAAACACUUUCAAUAAUGUAAGAAGAUAAAAAUACUUAAUAAGAAUUUUUUUUUGACGUUAAUUAUAAAAGAAGCACCGGCUAACUUCGUGCCAGCAGCCGCGGUAAUACGAGGGGUGCAAGCGUUAAUCGAAAUUAUUGGGCGUAAAGGGUGUGUAGGUUGUUUAUAUAAAUUAACUGUUAAAGUUACUAAAGUAAUUUAGUAAAGCAAUUAAUAAUUUUAAACUAGAGUAUAAAAGGAGAAAUUAGAAUUUCAGGAGUAGCAGUGAAAUGCUUAGAUAUCUGAAAGAAUACUAGAAGCGAAGGCGUAUUUCUAUUUUAAUACUGACACUGAUACACGAAAGCAUGGGGAGCGAACAGGAUUAGAUACCCUGGUAGUCCAUGCAGUAAACGAUGUCAACUAUUUGUUAAAUAACAUACAUAUAUUAUUAUAUUUUAUGUAUUUUAUGUUUGUAUUUUUAGUAAAAAAGCUAACGCGUUAAGUUGACCGCCUGGGGAUUACGACCGCAAG
rnacentral:rRNA from 1 species